GAAAUGCGAUACGUAAUGCGAAUUGCAGAAUUCCGUGAAUCAUCGAAUCCUCGAACGCACAUUGCACUUUCAAGUUCUUCUUGGAAGUAUACCUGUUUGAGUAUCAGUGUUCUCUCUCAAACCCCAAUUGUUUUGAUUGAGGUUUGGAUUUGGACUUUUCACAGCCGCUAAUGACUGCGAAGUCUUGAAUAUAGAAUCGUAGGCUUUGAUUAUCAAACCUAACUAAAGCUAGGUCCUUUGCUUUGGCAAUUUUCUUAAGCUUGAUAUGGUUUGCAAAGCUCUUUGGCUUUCCAGGGUGGGCGACCUUCAACUGGAUAAACCGAAGUUUCCAACAUUUUGUUAGAAACUUUGAGCCUUUGAUCUCAAAUCAGGUAAGAUGACCCGCUGAACUUAA
rnacentral:misc_RNA from 1 species